UGGGGAAUUUUGGACAAUGGGCGAAAGCCUGAUCCAGCAAUGCCGCGUGCAGGAAGAAGGCCUUCGGGUUGUAAACCGCUUUUGUCAGGGAAGAAAUCCUUUGAGCUAAUACCUCGGGGGGAUGACGGUACCUGAAGAAUAAGCACCGGCUAACUACGUGCCAGCAGCCGCGGUAAUACGUAGGGUGCAAGCGUUAAUCGGAAUUACUGGGCGUAAAGCGUGCGCAGGCGGUGAUGUAAAACAGUUGUGAAAUCCCCGGGCUCAACCUGGGAACUGCGAUUGUGACUGCAAGGCUAGAGUGUGUCAGAGGGGGGUGGAAUUCCACGUGUAGCAGUGAAAUGCGUAGAGAUGUGGAGGAACACCGAUGGCGAAGGCAGCCCCCUGGGAUAACACUGACGCUCAUGCACGAAAGCGUGGGGAGCAAACA
rnacentral:rRNA from 1 species